rnacentral:snRNA from 1 species
AGCUUUGCGCAGUGGCAGUAUCGUAACCAAUGAGGUUUAUCCGAGGCGCGAUUAUUGGUAAUUGAAAACUUUUCCCAAACUCUUUCAAAAAAUCAAAGAAGAAUGAGCACCUCCAAACUCAU